rnacentral:tRNA from 1 species
UGGGGUAUAGCCAAGUGGUAAGGCAGCGGGUUUUGAUCCCGCCAUUCCUAGGUUCGAAUCCUAGUACCCCAGCCA